AUCGGAUUUGAGACUGCAAAGUUUCAAUAAAGCAGGAAUCGCCUGUAAUCAGGUGAAAUACAACCUGGUGAAAAUUAUCGCUCUUCGUGCACACACUGCCCGUCACAUCCGGAAACAACUUAACAUCCCUAUACUUUUGUUGCUGAUAGCAGUAAAAAAUACAAGAUGCACGUCGAAUUUGGAUGAAGUCGUAACAAGGUUUGAGUAGGGGAACCUGCU
rnacentral:rRNA from 1 species